rnacentral:rRNA from 1 species
AGCGAACGCUGGCGGCAGGCCUAACACAUGCAAGUCGAACGCCCCUUCGGGGGAUUGGCGGACUGGUGGGUAACGCGUGGGAAUGUUCCCUUUUGUACGAAACAACUUAGAGAAACUUCAGCUAAUACCGUAUGUGCCCUACGGCGGAAAGAUUUAUCGCCAUUGGCGCAGCCCGCGGUGGAUUAGGUGGUGGGUGGGGUCAUGGCCCGCCAAGCCGGCGAUCCAUAGCUGUGCGGAGAGGCUGAUACGUCACGCUGGGAAUGAGACACGGACCCGACUCCGACGGGACGGAGCAGUGGGGUAUAUUGCGCGAUGGGCGAUAGCGUGACGACGCCAUGCCGGGUGAAUGAUGCAGGUCUUAGGAUUGUAAAAUUCUUUCACCGGAGAAGAUAAUGACGGUACCCGGAGAAGAAGCCCCGGCUAACUUCGUG